AAUGGAUCUUCUCCAAACUGGGAGGCUGAGUCUUCCAACGCUCGUCCUGGUGCUGGGUGGACAGAGCCUGGUGCAGCCGGGCCUCCAGCCGGAAGCCUGUGAGGUCAUUCUGACUCUGUUUACCUGAGGGAGCAGGAGGGAGGAGGCGUUGGCACUUCCUCCCGGCCCUGGACCACAUUUACUCAGCCAAGCCAGGCCCGGGGCAUGCUUGCUGGGUAUGCUCAUGUCACACGCCUGGGACACCUGGGACGGGCUGACAGCUCUGCUGGGCUCCGAGAUGGGAAAGUCUUCGAGGGGGAGGCAGGGGCAAGGUGACUGUUUCUGCUGGGAAGUGCUGGCCCCAGGAGCGUGGUCUGAGGGUCCUGGGAGGCCCCCUUCCCGGCUGGCCUGGCAGGCGCUGCCCCCUCCUGUCUAUCCUAAGUCCUGCUGGGAGCCAAGGAUACAAGCCGAGAUCCAGCAGACUGAGGUCAGAACGCACACAGGAGGCCGGGCUGGGGUCUCCUGUAUGGCUCCCCUGUUAGCUUGCCCCCCAUAUCAAAGCAGAGGAGGCAGGUUGGAGAGAGGGUGAUAGAGGGAGCUCCCAGCCUCGGGGGCCACCUUCCUCCUUCCCUCUCCUGCCUGGGCCCCCACGUUCAUCCUGUGCUGGUGAGCCCUCCUGGCGGUGGAGCAGAGAGCACGGAAAGAGCAGCUUGUUGACGCUAGUGGCCAGAUUCUCAUCUACUCCCAUCUUCAGCAGAUUCCAUAUCUGAGGCCUCAGUUCCCUUCGUUUUGAGAUGGGAAGAUUCCAACUAGAAGAGGACGCCAGAGAGGAAGGAGAGUUCAGUGGGACUGAGGCUGGGCUCCCGGGAGCCAAGGCCACGGCAGGCACUGGGCGGCAGUAAUGGCUGGGGCAGGUCAGGGUGUGAUGGGGGACACUGAGUUGGGAAGACGAGGAGGUUUCAGGGACUGCUCUGUCCCUUCAUCAGCUCUGCCUUCUGAGAGUCAUUUAACACUGGACACCUCAAGCCUCGUGAUAACAGCCACCAGUGCACCAGAUUUUAGAGCCUUCGGUCAGCCAUUCACAGCAAUCCCCUAGGAAGGGACUCCUCAGCACUUUGUGGACGGAGAGGCGGGGCUUGGCGAGGCGUCAAGGCAGCUGGGCUGCCAGUCUCCGAGUCACACUGGAGCCUCUGCCCCAACUCCUGUCCACGCCACCACAGAGCUCAGUGCUUUCAGGGGAGCCCGCUCCGCCAUCUGCUCCACACCCUCGGAACGCUCUGACCUCACUCAGAACAAAACGUGCGCCCCUCCCAGCCCCUCCACCCACCUCCUCUUCCCGCACUGCCCUCCUUCACUGGCUCAGGGGCCUUUCCCAUCACUGUCCCUGGGACUUUUGUCUGUUCUGUGCACUUCUGAAUGUCUUGCCCUUCAGACAGUGUCCACUGUAGACGCUCAAGUAAGCAUUGUGGAUGGAAGGAAGGCAAGCAGGGAGAGAGGAGGGAAGGAAGGGAGGGAGGAAGGGAGCCCAGGCCCCUUAUUUCCACUACCACCCCCCUCCACACCAUGCAGCCAGCCUUGACCCCGCCCCCUUUUGCAGCACCGUUGCUGAUGUAUUUCUGAUUCUCACAUGCACUUGGUCACUCACAUGCAUAUCAGCCUGAAAGACUGAGAGCCCCAAAGUUAUCUGUUUCUCUCAUAAACUGACAAAUGGAUUUUAGAUUCUGUUAAGUUCCGCAGGACUUUGUUCCACUUGUAAUAAAAAAGAAAGGAAGAAAGGAAAAG
ensembl:lncRNA